AUGAGUAGACCAGAGGAGUACGCCGUCUUGCUCGGGCUCGAGCAGGAGAGAAAGGCCAGGCCCCUUGGGAAAGGCGUUCUUCCGCCGAGCCCCCGAGGGUUUGUGAGAGCAGGGAAGGAGUCUCUGGAGACGCAGCGGUGGUCUCUUUGCUCUUCAGCUUCUGGGGGGCGUGGGGCUAGCUGAAAUAAUCACCUGUGUCGAUUAGGAUUCUUUUGGUUACAAGUGGCAGAAAGCCAACCCAAACUAUUGUACAUAGGGAAGCGAUUCGGCCAGGAAAGUGCAAAUGGCUGCAGAAGGCCGGGUGCACCCUGGGCCUCCCUUUCUGGAUCUCAGCCACCGUAGCUCCACAUAACCCCAAACUGCUCGGGACGCUCAUCCUAGCAGCCCAGCAGCCCAGCAGAACAAGAGCCUCCUACCGGCUCUGUCUGAUUGGCUCUGCUUGACAUAUGUGCUCACUUUCUGACCAAUCAUGAUGGCCACAGACUUGAGGUGGCCCUGACUGGCCAAAACUGGGCAUUGUGAGCUGGGGGUGGGGGUGGGGGAGAGGCACCCUGCACAUGGCAUAGCAUAGAUCCCCCGUGGAGGAAAGGGAGAGGUGUCCACUUUAGCUUGUGUCCUCUUCCUCAAUUCAUGUAUGUCUUUUGUUAACUGAUGCUAUCAUGUGUGUGUCUUUCACAAGGAGCAAUCCUAAAAAUCAUUAACAACGGGAGCAAUCCCACUUUGAAAAAAAGCAAACAACAGAGUCGAUUCUAGAACAUACUGCGCAGGGCAGUUCUUGGCGCAAGUGUUGUGCACUCAUUGACGAAGAGUGCCGGAGCCAGAGGGGGCGGUGGAGCUCAAGCUGUUGGUAACAUUUGGGUACAGAUGAGAUCAUGGAGGCACAGAGCGGGGCUGCUUUGCCCAAAGCCUCCUCGUAAGUCCUUUGCAGAUCCCAAAACCCUGACGUGGGGCCCAGCGUUCUUUCUGGCCCUCGUCUGACUACUGCCUCUCGCCUUUCCGAGUCUGUUUCCCUGGGCUGGGUUCCACGUGGACUCCUGAGACCCUGGCUCUGGAAUCUUGCUAGGAGUUGACUGGCAAAAGUUUCCUACUAAUGUGUCAACUCGUGAGAGCAGAACUGAAUUUCCCAGGACUGUGUGGGCCCUCCAGAUCCAAAAGAAUUCACACGCGAGAACGACCU
rnacentral:lncRNA from 1 species